rnacentral:rRNA from 1 species
UACAUGCAAGUCGAACGCGUCUCCGUUAAUGAUUUUAGGUGCUUGCACUUGAAAGAUUUAACAUUGAGACGAGUGGCGAACUGGUGAGUAACACGUGGGUAACCUGCCCUUGAAGUAGGGGAUAACACUUGGAAACAGGUGCUAAUACCGUAUAACAACCAAAACCACCUGGUUUUGGUUUAAAAGACGGCUUCGGCUGUCACUUUAGGAUGGACCCGCGGCGUAUUAGCUUGUUGGUAAGGUAACGGCUUACCAAGGCGAUGAUACGUAGCCGACCUGAGAGGGUAAUCGGCCACAUUGGGACUGAGACACGGCCCAAACUCCUACGGGAGGCAGCAGUAGGGAAUCUUCCACAAUGGACGAAAGUCUGAUGGAGCAACGCCGCGUGAGUGAUGAAGGGUUUCGGCUCGUAAAACUCUGUUGUUGGAGAAGAACAGGUGUCAGAGUAACUGUUGACAUCUUGACGGUAUCCAACCAGAAAGCCACGGCUAACUACGUGCCAGCAGCCGCGGUAAUACGUAGGUGGCAAGCGUUGUCCGGAUUUAUUGGGCGUAAAGCGAGCGCAGGCGGUUUUUUAGGUCUGAUGUGAAAGCCUUCGGCUUAACCGGAGAAGUGCAUCGGAAACCGGGAGACUUGAGUGCAGAAGAGGACAGUGGAACUCCAUGUGUAGCGGUGAAAUGCGUAGAUAUAUGGAAGAACACCAGUGGCGAAGGCGGCUGUCUGGUCUGUAACUGACGCUGAGGCU